rnacentral:lncRNA from 1 species
GCAGCUCUCUCUCAUGGCUGGCAUGCCAAGGCGUUUUAGUUACCAAGAGCUGCAACAAGUCACAGGAAACUUCAGUGAAAUGCUUGGAAAUGGAGGAUUUGGAAGCGUGUUCAAAGGAAACCUUGCCGAUGGAAUUGAGGUCGCUGUGAAGAAACUUGAAGGCUCCAACCAGAGGAGCAAAGAUUUUUUCGCCGAAGUUGGAAUCCUAGCCAGGACGCACCACUGGAACCUCGUCAAGCUGCUGGGAUUCUGUGCCCAGGGUCCAAGGAAAAGGCUCCUGGUGUACGAAUAUAUGAGGAACGGGUCCCUCGACCGAUGGAUAUUUGAAGACGAUGAAUAUCCUGGCAAUGUGCCGUGGGGAGUUAGAUACAACAUUGCCUUGGGCACAGCAAGAGGAUUGAGCUACUUACAUGACGAAUGCGCUGAAAAGAUAAUCCACUUGGACUUGAAGCCGGAGAAUGUGCUCCUCGACGAUGGUUUCCAGCCGAAAAUAGCAGAUUUCGGACUGUCCAGGCUCAUGGACAGGAAGGAAAGCCACUUGCAGCUGACGAUAACGAGAGGCACUCCUGGCUACGUCGCACCGGAGUGUGUUCAGGAAGGAACAGUGACUGAAAAAUCGGAUGUUUUCGGCUUCGGGGUAUUGCUGCUCGAGAUCAUAACAGGUUGCAGGAGCAGGAAUCUCUCGGAUGAUUUCCUGAAGGACUACCUGUUGGUCAGUGAAAGGGACGAGAAGGCUGUUGCUCACCUCCACCAAGACGACAAGGAAAGAGAGAGAUUGAAGACCGUGGUAAGUUUGUGUGUCCGAGACGAUCCAGACUUACGGCCCUCGAUGAUGAACGUGGUACCAAUGAUGCAAGGAGUUAUUAAGCUUCCUCAGAUCCCCUCGGAGUCGCAGCUCCAGUUCUUCCUCGCUUACAGAUCCAAACUUCAGCUUAGCAGAAGCACAACCUCGGACGUACCUCAGUACAGUUCUAAUAAGUUGCUGGGUUCGUCAACGUCGUUUGGAUUUCUCUCACAAGAGAGCCUGGGUUGUCGAUAAUUGGAUAGUGCUCAGUACCUAUACAAUGAUAUGUAAGUAAUUCAUACCUUGUGCCCAGUAUAUCCGUUACAGUCCACAAGAGUUGUAUAGCAAUCCUAACUUGAAGAAGGAGCUUGCUUCUUCCCGAUCUGGAAAUUUGCAAAGAAAGUAAGAAAACAAACCUGCAACGACUUGCUCAAGAGCUCGUGCUUCGAAAUCGAGCGAGCCAAAGUAAUCAAGCAAAUGGCUAGCCUGCUUUUGACUCAAGUGACACUCUUCUACUGGAACUCAAGUAUACCUUUGAUCGAACUUCUCCAGUUCAGACACAUCCCAUUGGCUUUCACCACGAACAAAAUUUCCCGCCGUUUCUAAAGCGAUUCCUCUCUCACCACAGCUUUCGCUAAACUGGAAAGAAAAGAAAAAAAAGAGAGGGGGAGUCGAAGGAAAACAAAAUCUGUGAGAAGAUUUCUCGUACCUGAUUCCUACGGAUUUCCUUCAACCUGUUAAAGCAUAUCCACAUAAACUCAAGUCAGUCACAAAGCUCGGCUAUAACCAAGUCUAAACGUAUCUGCAAAGACUUGUUCAAAGCGCGUUGGAACAUCCAAGUAUUUGAGCGCCGGAGCCGCAAGAGAGGUCGAGAACUCCAUGGCUACCAAAGGAGAGCUGUGCUUCAUCUUCUCGUCGAUCUUCAUCCUGGGAUUUUCUCGAGCGGAACUGUACUACAGGAAUUUCACCAGUGAAGUAAAUGGUCCCCUGUAUCCGCUUGAUCCAUCCGGCUUGAGUGGCCGCUACACUGAUUUAUGGUCCAACUACACCGACACGGACAUGAGCUUCCAGGUGUGGAUGCUGAGCUAUGACGCCACAACACCAAGAUCGUUCUUCCUGGCACUGGUUGGAAUUCGCAAUCCAAGUAAGCUCUGGGACCUCACAAAACCGGUCGUUCUGUGGAAGGCCCGUCAGACGAGGCUUGUAGGAGAGAAUGCCACUCUAGCAUUCACCACCGAUGGAGAGCUCAAGCUUGAAGAAGAUGGCGACGUUGUCUGGUCCUCCAACACCACAAACAAAGGCGUCCGGUGGCUUGCCAUAUCCGACAGCGCGACCAUAAUGCUCCUGGAUGAAAGUGAAAGCAAUGUCAUCUGGCAAAGUAGCGACGAACCUUCUGACACUGUGCUGUUGCAACGAGCGCUUAAGCCGGGAUAUAAGCUCGUAAGUUGGAAUACUUCAGAAGACAGCAGCGACGGCCUGUAUAGCCUUGUCAUGGAGAAGAACAGGCUCAAACUGCUAUACGACUCGCAACCAUACUGGAGCUUCGGUAAUAUUACAAGAGAGGAAGAUAUGUUUGCGGUCUUCUGCUGGCAGCCAAAUGGAGUCGUGUCCCUGGAUCUCCGAACUAAUUUCUCACAGAUAGAAGGUGCGGGCUUGGUACAGCCGGAGUCUUGUGCCAUACCUGGUUCUGAAGACCAAGCGAUGCAGCUGCCAAUAAACGGGUCACAGUUCACGUCCUCCACUUUCAUAAGGCUCACACCAGAUGGAGAUGUGGACCUGUACUCCUGGAAUUGGACGGGUAGCAACUGGGUGACUUAUCUCAGCUUUUCCAAUCACUUCAAGUGCUUCCUUCCAAGUGCAUGCGGGAAAUAUAGAACCUGUAAUCCAACAUUAGGUACAUGCGAAGAUACUUGUCCCGAGAGCUUUACCAAGAAAGAUGAAGAUUGCCAGCCAUCGUUUCCACUUCAGAUGUGUGAGGAGGAGAUGGAGUAUCGAUUCGUUCGGAAGGAGGGAACUGAUUACUUCUCCACAAAUUAUACUGAUCCACUCAAUGUUGCAUCGGAAGAAGAUUGUCAAGGGUUGUGUGAGUCGAAUUGCAACUGCACGGCUGCCUUCUAUAGUGACCGGGCCUGCUUUCUCGUGCAUGGAGACGUGCAAUCACUUCGAACUGGAAAAUACGUUGCGUUAUUGAAAGUUGCACAGCCACGAAAGAAUUCCAGGAAGCACGUCCAGGCCAUCACCUUGGGAGUACUUAUUCCAACAGUCGUCCUACUGAUAGUAAGCCUCGGAUGGCGCUGCCGGAGGAACAAGGAAGAUGACGACGAGGGAGAAGAAGAAAGCACCUUGCAGCUCUCUCUCAUGGCUGGCAUGCCGAGGCGUUUUAGUUACCAGGAGCUCCAGCAAGUCACAGGGAACUUCAGUGAUAGACUGGGAAGCGGAGGAUAUGGAAGCGUGUUCAAAGGAAAACUUACCGAUGGAACUGAAGUCGCUGUGAAGAAACUCGAAGGCUCCAACCAGAGGAGCAAAGACUUUUUCGCCGAAGUUGGAAUCCUAGCCAGGACGCACCACUGGAACCUCGUCAAGCUGCUGGGAUUCUGUGCCCAAGGUCCCAGGAAAAGGCUCCUUGUGUACGAAUAUAUGAAGAACGGGUCCCUGGAGCGAUGGAUAUUUGAAGACGAUAGAAAGCCUGGCAGUUUUACAUGGGACGUUAGAUACAACAUUGCCUUGGGCACAGCAAGAGGAUUGAGUUACUUACAUGACGACUGCGCUGAGAGGAUCAUCCACCUGGACCUGAAGCCGGAGAAUGUGCUCGUCGACGAUGGUUUCCAGCCGAAGAUAGCCGACUUCGGAUUGUCCAAGCUCAUGGACAGGAAGGAAAGCCAGCUACAACUGACAAUUGCGAGAGGCACCCCUGGAUACGUCGCACCCGAGUGUGUUCAGGAAGGAACGGUGACUGAGAAAACCGACGUUUUCGGCUACGGGGUACUGCUGCUCGAGAUGUUAACAGGUUGCAAGAACAGGAACCUCUCAAGUGAUUACCUGAAGGACUUCUUGUUAGUCAGUGGACAGAACGACAGUGCUGCUGCUCACCUCCAUCAAGACGAGAAGAAAAGAGAAAGAUUGAAGAACGUUGCAGCCUUGUGCGUCCAAGACGAUCCAGAUUUACGGCCCUCGAUGAGCAACGUGGUACAAAUGAUACUGGGAGUUACUGAGCUGCCUCAAAUGCCCUCGCGAUCACAGCUGAAUUUCUUUCUUGCUUACAGAUCCAAAGAGCACUUGAACAGGAGCUCAGGCUCGGACGUCUCGCAUAGGAGUUUUGAUAAGUUGCUGGAUUCAUCGAUGUCAUCGACGUCAUUUGCAAUUUUCUCACAAAAUAGUGGUCGAUAGUUAAACCGGAGUAUAAUUUAAACGUAGGUAUAGUAUUGCCUCUGAAAAUCACAAAAUUUGUUGAGGCUCAUUCUUUGUCAAAGAAGUAAAAAUAUACCUUCGGAGGAAGUAUUUCGUCCUUGUUCAACAAGAGAAUCGCCGAUCACAAUGCUUCUAGGAGUUUUGGGUUUGGUGGUUCAGAAUCGUGUUCUUCGUUCCCUACGUCGCAGCGUCGCGCAGUGUUUCUUGCCAAGAAAAAUGAAAAGUCGCUGUUAGACUCCGCAAACCAUUACUAAACAAUACCUCACACAUGGUCACAUUGCAGUGCCGCAUUGAAUAGCAAUUAGCGUUGAAACAGUCCCGACGAGACAAUUUCCUGGCAUUACUAAAACUCAACGAUGAACAGCGGCACAAACUAUUCCUUAUCAGCUGUGUAAACGCGAACGAAUAAAUAACUUUAGUCAUACGUACUUGCGGAAAGACUUCUUCAAAGCUAAUGCUUCGAGUCGCUGGAACUCCCGAGUAUGUGAGCGCGCUCUCCAGCAACGGCUAGCAGAGAGCUGUACUUCCUCGUCUCGUUGGUCUUCAUCCUUCGCUCUGCUCAAGCGGCACAGGAAUUUCACCACCAAAAUAGAUGGUCCUUUGUAUCCGCUUGAUCCAUACGGUUUGAGUGGCCGCUACGCUGGUUUACGGUCAAAUUAUAGCGACAUAGGUAUCAGCAAGGACAUGAGUUACCAGGUGUGGAUGCUGAGUUAUAACGCUGAAACGCCAAAAUCGUUUUUCCUGGCACUCAUUGCCAUCCUGUGGAAGGCCCGACAGACGAGGCUUGUAGGUGAGAAUGCCACUUUACAAUUUACCACAGAUGGAGAGCUUAAAGUCGAAGAAGACGGUGAUGUCGUAUGGUCCACGAAAACUGCAAACAGAGGCGACCGGUGGCUCUGCAUUUCCAAUCGCGCAACCAUAAUGCUCCUGGACGAAAGCGGAAGCAAUGUCAUCUGGCAAAGCAGCGACGAACCUUCUGAUACUGUGCUGUUGCAACGAGCACUUACGCCGGGACAAAAGCUCGUAAGUUUCAAUAAUUCAGAAGACAGCAGCGAUGGCCUCUAUAGUCUCGUCAUGGAGAAAAGCAGGCUGCAACUGUUGUACGCCUCGCAACCGUAUUGGAGUUUCGGUAAUAUUGGCAGCGGGGAAAACAUGUUUGCUGUGUUUUGCUGGCAAAACGAUGGUAACGUGUCUCUGGAUCUGCGAGCCAACUUCUCACAGAUUGAAACGAAGCAUGAUGACUUGGGCUUAGUGUUUUCCUGGUCAUGUUCCAGUCGAGGUUUAAGAGACCAAGUGAUGGAGUUGCCAAUAGAUGGGUCACAACUCACGGCCUCCACUUUCAUAAAGCUGAAACCGGACGGGGAUGUCGUCUUGUACUCCUGGAAUUGGACGGGUACAAACUGGAUAGAUUUCUUCAGGUUUUCGACUCUCUUCAAGUGCUUUCUUCCAAGUGGAUGUGGAAGAUACAGAACCUGCAAUUCAGCAUCAGGCGCAUGCGAGGAAACUUGUCCAGAUACCUUUGCAAGAAGAGGUGAAGACUGCCAGCCACCAUAUCCACUAGAGACAUGCGAAGACCAGCUCGAGUAUCGAUUCGUUCGAAGAGAGGGAGCUGAUUACUUCUCCACAAAUUAUUCCACUCCAGUUCCUGAAGCAUCAGUGGAGGCGUGUCAGGGGCGACGUGAGUCGAACUGCACCUGCACGGCGGCCUUUUAUAAUGACGGGAGCUGCUUUCUCACGCACGGCGACGUGCAGUCACUCCGAUCUGGGAAGUACGUUGCUCUGCUGAAAGUUGCCCGCCCUCGAAAGGUUUCCAAGACGCAACUCCAGGCCAUCACAUUGGGAGUACUUGUUCCAACAUUGUUCCUGCUGAUAGUCUGUCUCGGAUGGCACUGCCGGAGGAGAAAUAAGCAUGAUGACGACGAGGGAGAAGAAGAAAGCACCUUGCAGCUAUCCCUCAUGGCGGGUAUCCCCAGGCGCUUCAGUUUCCAGGAGCUUGAAGAAGUCACAGGGAAGUUCAGCAACUGCCUCGGGAAUGGAGGAUUCGGAAACGUUUUCAAAGGAUUACUUGCCGAUGGCACUGAAGUUGCUGUGAAGAAGCUCGAAGGCUCGAACCAGAAAAGUAAGGACUUUUUUGCGGAAGUUGGAAUUCUAGCCAGGACGCACCACUGGAACCUCGUCAAGCUGCUGGGAUUCUGUGCGCAAGGGCCCAGGAAAAGGCUCCUUGUGUACGAGUAUAUGAAGAAUGGCUCCCUAGAGCGGUGGAUAUUUGAAGACGACAGAAUUCCUGGGAAUAUUUCGUGGAAACUUAGAUUCAACAUCGCAAUAGGCACAGCGAGAGGAUUGAACUACUUACACGAUGACUGUGUUGAAAGGAUAAUCCACCUGGAUCUGAAGCCGGAGAACGUACUCCUCGACGAUGGUUUCCAGCCGAAGAUAGCAGACUUCGGAUUGUCCAAGCUCAUGGACAGGAAGGAAAGCCAGUUGCAGCUGACGAUUACGAGAGGCACCCCUGGCUACGUUGCACCGGAGUGUAUUCAGGAAGGAACGGUG